AAAACGAGAAAACAUGUCCUACUUUCUCGCUAUAGAGACGAAUGCUGUUGCUUGUUUUCUAAUUUCCCGAUCAGUCGAUAGAUAGGACCGUCUGGAAGUCGAGAGGGAAGGGAAACAGAGGGAAACACAGCCAAUCACAGGCGGGGCAAACUGAGGAACUGCUGCCCUUUGGCUUAAUCUGCGUGUUUUCCAUUCCCGUCAUGAGUGUCUGCUGUUGGAUCACUGGACAGAUUGUUUUGUGCUGGUCCAGGGUCUCUUGGGGUCAUGGUUCUGGGAACAGCCUCCUCUACUUGGCUGAGUAUGUCAUUCAGGACUGCAGAAGAAGCUCUGUCUGAGGGCGAUGGGGGCUGGGAGACCGCAGAAGAUCCUGGACUGCUACUGAUGAUUGAACGAGCUGCUUGCAGAUGCCUUCUCUGGCUCUGAUGAACUAAAAGAGAAUGAGCAAUGUGUACAAAUCAAUGCUUUUGCAUUCUCUCACAUGCAAAGCUCGCUCACAAGAUAUUUGCGUUCACUUGCAAAAACGUAUGCGUCUUUUUAUAGUUUAGGGUUAGUUCACCGUGUUUACAUCAGAACGCCGGCUCAGUGUUGGCCAAAGCUGCACACGUGAGCAGCACGAUGCAUGUGUGUGAUGCUGACGCAUGAGCCGGCCAAUACUGAGUCUGCGUUCUGACGUAGAACCCGGAAGCACUGCACUGUGUUUACUACGUCAACAGUGUAAGAGAAUGACAGGGGAGAGAAGAAAUUGUUGAAAUAAAGUCUGUAUUUUUGUUUUGUUUUUGUGCACAAAAACUAUUCUCGUCACUUUAUAACAUUAAGGUUGAACAACUGCAGUCACGUCGACUGUUUUAACGAUGUCUUUACUAAGGAUGUCCCGAUCAGGUUUUUUUGCCCUCGAGUCCGAGUCCGAGUCAUUUGAUUUUGAGAAUCUACCGAUACCGAGUCCCGAUCCGAUAAAAACAAAUAUAAAUAUAUUUGUUUUUAUAUUAGACUUUGUUUUUAUAUUAUAUAAAUACUUUGCCGGCAUUUAACCAAUAGCGUCUCUGCAACAAAGUGAUGUCAUGCCGCACGUGUUGCUGUUUCUGUGUUGAGUCAAAAGGGUCUAAAGCCUCGUUUACACUGCACGUGUGUGCGGCGCGUUACGGCUGCGACGCGGCUACCGGAGCUGAUACGCGGCCACUCUAGUCAAUGCUCGUGUUUACACCAGCCGCGCCGCUGUGCGUUUUCGAAGCCUCCCAGAAGCGGCUCGCCGCGCCGCUUCGCUAAAGAUAGGCGCCAAGCCUAUUUUUGACGGACGCUGCGUCCAAGACGCACAGCUCAAAUACAAAAUAAAAUCAAAAUAAUCACCCUGUGUAAACUCCCGCUCAUAUUUCACAUCGCUAGGAGGCCAGAAACUGAAGACAAGAGAUUCGAAGUUGGAAAAACUUGAAUUUUUUUUGUUCUUGUCAUCCAUUGGACUUUUAAGUGUAUAAACUUCGUCUGUAGGCUACAGCAAAAAAAAAAUUAUGGCAUAGCAAUAAACACAAUUAAACCGGACAAAAUAUAACCAUUUAGCCAUUAAAAACACGAAAAGAAUCAAGGAAAAAACAUCAGACAGUCAAAUCUCGUGGUCUUGCGAAUUCAGCCGCUUCGCUUCUGAAAUGCUUCUGGUGUGAGUUGACACUGCGCAGUGGACUGAACAAAACCUUGCCGGAGCCGUAACGCGCCGCAGACGCGUGCAGUGUAAACGAGGCUUAACGCCUGUUUCACACUGCAAGCGUAAGCGGCGCGUGAGCAGCGCGUAUUUUUUUCGGCAUGCAUUAUUUUAGUUAUUACACAGACUGCAGCAUACCCAAAUUAAACCAGAGUUUGCUGUCUUGUAAACAUGUGCACGUACACCUCCCCAUGUUAACAAACUUUCAAGACUAUCAAGUUUAUAAAUGACCAACUUAUAAAAACGAAUGUAUAGCUGUCUUUGUAAAGAAAUGCUCACAUAUGUAGCUUCGAGCCGCUGCUGUGACGCUGUACAAACGCUUCCAGUGUGAAUACUCACGCGUCUCUGCAGCUGCAGUGACGGUGUAGUUACGCUCACGCUUGCAGUGUGAAACAGGCGUAACUCUGUGCCACCGCAUAACUAUAGAUGUGUUAAAUAUAAUGAGAAUAUAUAUGCAUAUCCGAGUCCUGAUCGGGAGGUAACGUCCGAUUCCGAUCGAGUCUGAAACCACGUGAUCGGGCCCGAUUUCCGAUCACGUGAUCGGAUCUGGACAUCCCUAGUCUUUACUACCUUUCUGGACCACAAAAGGUGCAAUGAUGUUGCUGCCUAUGUGUGGUUCAGAAACCCUCGGAUUUCACAAAAAAAAAAAAAAAACAUUUAAUUUGUGUUCCGAAGACGAACAGGUCUUACGAGUUUGGAAUGGGUGAGUAAUUAAUGACAGAAAUUUCAUUUUUGGGUGGACUAAACCUUUAAGGGGCUUUAUACAACAUCCCACCAUGUUUGGGGAAAAUAUGAAAAUAUAACCAAAUUAUAUGUGUGUUCACUUGCAACGAAUACAUUGGUGUUUUUGUCAAGUUGUGUUAUUUUGUGUGUGUGUGUGUGUGUGUUUGAAGUAUUUUAAUUAUUUUUAAUUGUUUAUAAAUAUUUAAUAAUUAGUAUUACUACACUUGAUAGUAUAUUAAAAUUAUUAAACUAAAUUAACUUCAGUUUGUGAUUUUAGGGACAUUUUUUGUUUACUUUUGUACAAUAAACCGUUUUUGUACUGUG